rnacentral:tRNA from 1 species
GCUCCAUUCGUUCAGUGGAUAGGAUACAAUCCUGCGAAGAUUGUGACUCAGGUUCGACUCCUGAAUGGGGCA